GUCAACAACAGUCAUGAAAGUUAGCAUUAUUAUUACCACAUUAUAAUUGGUAUUAUUAUUAUUAUUACAUUAUUGUUACCCCAGAGUGACUUAUUUUACAGCGCGUGGACACUUGACUCCCCUUCCGGUACAACUAUUAGACAGCUGACCUACUUUGACUGCCCCCUGGCUUUAUAAAUAAGGCUCGGCGGAGGAGCACACAGCGGCGGCGGUGCGACGGUCGACGCGCAAGACAGAACUUCCCUCUUCGUUCUUCUUUUUUCUUUUUUUCUUUUCUUGACUUCUUAUUUCUUACCUGGGCAGGUAAAGUCGAAACAUCAUGGCGGGCAGUGUUCAGUUCGCCCCGGCCAUGCCGGACAUCCGUGCAAUGUUGUACCUGCUGUCGCCCAACGAGUCGUCCUUCGAGAAGGUAGAAGAAGUGCCCGAAUAUGUUCAUCAGGCCAAUCCUUUCUUCAUCGGGCUGAUCAUCCUGGAGAUGGGUGUCAACAUGUUGCUAUCAGAAUCUCCGCUGUACAACAUCUGUGAUGGAAUCAUCUCUGUAUCAUUAGGGAUGAUAUCCAGGCUACCACUCUUGCUGAUACGGGGCAUCGAGCUGUCGGCCUACAUGUACGUGUGGGACCACUAUCGCCUGCUGGAGCUACCCUGGGACUCUGCCUGGACCUGGCGCUUCACCUUCCUGGCUGUAGACUUCUGCUACUACUGGUUCCACCGCUUUGCUCACGAGGUGUCCGUCUUGUGGGCGGCCCACCAGGUUCACCACAGUUCGGAAUACUUCAACUUCAGCACGGCCCUACGGCAGCCUCUCACGCAGCAGCUAACAUCCUGGAUCUUCUACCUGCCCAUGGCUCUGGCUGUGCCUCCCUCAGUCUUUGCCGUCCACAUCCAAUUGAAUCUGCUCUUCCAGUUCUGGCUGCACACAGAGGUGGUCCAAGACUUGGGACCUUUGGAAUGGAUCUUCAACACUCCAAAGCAUCACAGAGUUCACCACGGGAGGAAUGAGUACUGCAUUGACAAGAACUACGGGGGCAUUCUGAUCAUAUGGGACCGAUUGUUCGGCACCUUUGCUGCAGAGGAGGACAAAGUGAUGUACGGCUUGGUCUUCCCUGUCAACACGUUUGAAAUAAUCACAAGUCAGUUCCAUUACUAUUUGUCUUUGUGGAGACGGGCCAGCACCUACACCAGCAUGAAAAACAAAGUGUUGACGUUUGUCAACGGUCCGAGCUGGCUGCCCGGUAAACCCAGGUUGGGCGACCACGAGCUAGUCCCGAAGGUGACUGGAGAGGAAGUGCUUCAUGAGCCCAGCUGCUCGCUGCCCUUACAAGUUUAUGUGGUGACACAUUUCCUGCUGGUCCUGCAUACUUACCACGAUCUGUUUGAAAACCAAGCGGUACUAACACAGGUUACCAUCCUGGGGAUGACUGCCUACAUCCUGCUGACGCUCACCUGCAUUGGUUUCAUCAUCGACCAAAGGUCGCUGGCAUCCUUCUUGGAGAUGCUGCGCUGUGCCGCCAUGGUGACGAUGCUGCGGUACAAUCACUUGAGGCUCCCCUAUUCUUCUCUGGCUAUGCCCACUGAGGCUCUGGAUGCGUUGCUCUGCAAUACAACGGUUGUUCGGCAUGAUGGGAUCUUCUUCUUUAAAAGGCCUUUGCCUCCCUCUCGCUGCUCUACUGGGCCAUGCAGAUCUUCUCUCAGCUGCUCUCCAUCAAGAGGAAGUCCGACUGAAUGUGGCCCUGCAGACCAGACCAGACCAGCUCACACUGUCCCACCGUGUAGUAACACAUCACACACUCACACACACAAACGGAUCGACUUUUUCCAUUUCAGUUUUUGUUUCCGUUUUUAAAGUCAACAACCAAAAAUAUGACUAACAUGACUUCUUGUGUGCCUUUACCAACAAAUUUUGCAGGUGAAAGUUUCUAAUGUAAGACAUCACCAUAUGUUGCUGUUUAUCUUGUAUUUAAAUGACACCCUACACGUUUCUGCGUACAGUGAAACCUCCGAACACAAUCUGUUCACUUUCUCUCCUCUAAACUUCAGAAUAAACUACUGUAGAGUGUCGGAAAAUAAUCUGUUCCAGUGUCAAGCCAUGGUCACUGUCAGACCGUUAAUACAGUACAGGCAAAGUGUAACUGCCAUGCAAGUAGUGAUGUUUCAAUCUGGGUUGUAUGCUGCCGAUUCCGAUACCGAUCAUCCAAGAGUAAGAUCGACCGAUACCAAUACCAAUCGUAUCUAUAAACUGUAGAUUUUUUUUUUUUUUUUAAAUAACGAGUCCUCCUGACAUCUGCUGCUGCACCCGCGACCCAACUUAGGAUAAGCAGAAGAAGAUGGAUGGAUCCUAUUGACAAAAUACUUGAAGAUAAUAUCUAAAUUAGUUACUUAGUUGAGUUUAUGAAGUACAAUUGUUUGAUAAAGAUAAAGUCAAUAGUACACAAGAACUAAACCAAAGAAAAGCUACUAUCUAGAGAUGUCCGAUAAUAUCGGACUGCCAAUAUUAUCGGCCGAUAAAUGUUUUAAAAUGUAAUAUCGGAAAUUAUCGGUAUCGGUUUCAAAAAGUAAAAUGUAUGACUUUUUAAAACACCGCUGUACGGAGGGAGAAGUACAGAGCAGUUGCGUCACCCAGUCAUACUAGCCAACCCUCCCGAUUUUCCCGGGAGACUCCCGAAUUUCAGUGCCCCUCCCGAAAAUCUCCCGGGGCAACCAUUCUCCCGAAUUUCCACCCACUCAGGACUAUUGGGGGCGUGCUUUAAGGGCACUGCAUUUGCGUGCCGGCCCAGUCACAUAUUAUCUACGCCUUUUCACACACACAAGUGAAUGCAAGUCAUACUUGAUCAACAGCCAUACAGGUCACACUGAGGGUGGACGUAUAAACAACUUUAACACUGUUACAAAUAUGCGCCACACUGUAAACCCACACCAAACAAGAAUGACAAACACAUUUCGGGAGAACAUCCGCACCGUAACACAACAUAAACACAACAGAACAAAUACCCAGAACCCCUUGCAGCACUAACUCUUCCGGGACGCUACAAUAUACACCUCAACCUCCUCAUGCUCUCUCAGAGCAUGUUCCAAAUUCCAAGCUGCUGUUUUGAGGCAUGUUAAAAAAAAAAAAGCACUUUGUGACUUCAAUAAUAAAUAUGGCAGUGCCAUGUUGGCAUUUUUUUCCAUAACUUGAGUUGAUUUAUUUUGGAAAACCUUGUUACAUUGUUUAAUGCAUCCAGCGGGGGCAUCACAACAAAACUAGGCAUAAUAAUGUGUUAAUUCCACGACUGUAUAUAUCAGUAUCGGUUGAUAUCGGAAUACGUAAUUAAGAGUUGGACAAUAUCAGAAUAUCGGACAUUGGCAAAAAAGCUAUUAUCGGACAUCUCUACUACUAUCUAUUACUCUUUUAAGUUGUUCUUCUUUUGCCCUCAAAGUCCCCCUUUGUCCAAGGAAGUAUUGCCGGAAUUUGUAACACAAAUAUAUUUUGGAGAAAAUAAAAAUAUUGAAUUACUCUAGUAUCGAUCAUAUAAUAAUGUGAUAAUAUCGAUCAUAUAACAUUAGGUACAAUGAAGCUAAGCACUGUCAUACAUCAGAUGUUUGCAGCUUCAAAUGUUUCUUUAAAGGUGUAAUUUUUUAAAUGAGUAUCCAUAGCCACGCUGAUGCUCCCUCAUUUGUGUCUAUAAUAAAAAGGACCUCUUACUCGCACGUCACCUGCCGUCCCUGCAUCUUGGCGUCACACAUGCGACACCGUGACAAGCAUGACCAAACACAGUGUGCAAAAUAGGAAUAUACAGUGCAUACAAUUCAACAAGUUCAAGUUGAACUCUUCUCUAUUGUUAAUUGAUACACAAUGAAGGCAAUGUUGGAUUAACAUGUUAGCUAUUUCAUCCUAGUCUACAUAUGAGUAUUUUCCUAAUGGAACAAAUUACAGUUACAAUAUGUUAUUGUGUAUAUGCAUAAACAUCCGAUAUAGUAUCAGAGUUUUGGUACGCAGCCCUCAUUUUUGCACGUUUUAGAUUUUAGUUUUGGAUUUGGUGACUUAAAAUAUUGCCUAUAUGGCCAUUGUUUGACCCUGGAACAGAUUAAAUUACUUACCAGUAUUCCCUAUGAAGGUAAAAAAAAAGCAUCUAGGUAGAAAUUGUGUUGACUUUAGAGCUUCAACUGUAACCUUCAACUGUACUUGAAUGCAAAUACUACUGUAUGCUUUAACUCGUAGUACGAUAAUGACUACUAACCUCAUACUAUUUGUUUGUGAUGUACUCUAUUUUAUUAUCAUAUCCAGUCCAGUGUUGUCACGGAAGGAGCAAAUAUUACGGUGAAUAAGCAGCAUAUGAAUGUGAAAGAGGAAGGCAGAGAGAAUCCAAUCACUUGAUCAAUCAUUCCACCCACGGAUGUCUUUCAUGCCAAGUCCUCCCACUGAGACCGAGGCAAAGGUGUUGUCCAGACGCCAUGUGGGAGGGAAAUAUUCCACAGCAGAUGGUGCUAUUUCCUCCCCCGUCGCCGUGCGCGUCAUGGUCCGUGUUAUGAGAAGCACAUGGAAUUAUUGAUGUGUCACCAGAUAUGACCAGAGAAUAAAACGCUACUUACUCCUGAUUGCUACGAAGGUCCUGAGUAGUCGUGAGUUCAAUCCUGGCCUCGGGAUCUUUCUGUGUGGAGUUUGCAUGUUCUCCCCGUGACUGCGUGGGUUCCCUCCGGGUACUCCGGCUUCCUCCCACCUCCAAAGACAUGCACCUGGGGAUAGGUUGAUUGGCAACACUAAAAAAAUUGGCCCUAGUGUGUGAAUGUGAGUAUGAAUGUUGUCUGUCUAUCUGUGUUGGCCCUGCGAUGAGGUGGCGACUUGUCCAGGGUGUACCCCGCCUUCCGCCCGGUUGUAGCUGAGAUAGGCUCCAGCGCCCCCCGCGACCCCAAAGGGAAUAAGCGGUAGAAAAUGGAUGCUAUGUCUAUUUAUGUCAUUAUUGUAUUCAUUUAUUAUCAAAGCAUGCGGGGUGUAUUUUGAUAUUUUCCAUAUUUUAAAAAUCAAUACAAUAUAUAUAAUUGUUUUUUUUUUUACCUUUUGACCUCCCCUCAAGUUUGGCCCUGUCAAAAAUAAUUCAUAUACAGUAUAUAUUUGUUUUUAUUCUACACUUUAAUCUCCAGAUAAACUUCAGGACUGUCGAUAUAAAGUUAUUUUUAUUUUCAUGUUU